GUCGGCCCCUAAGGCGAGGCUGAAAAGCGUAGUCGAUGGGAAACGGGUUAAUAUUCCCGUACUUGGAUAAACUGCGAUGUGGGGACGGAGAAGGUUAGGUUAGCAGACUGUUGGAUGUCUGUUUAAGGUGGUAGGUGGAAGACUUAGGCAAAUCCGGGUCUUUAUAAAACACUGAGAGCUGAUGACGAGGUCUUAAGGGACUGAAGUAACUGAUACCCUGCUUCCAGGAAAAGCCACUAAGCUUCAGGUUUAUCUAAACCGUACUGAAAACCGACACAGGUGGUCAGGUAGAGAAUACUCAGGCGCUUGAGAGAACUCG
rnacentral:rRNA from 1 species